rnacentral:rRNA from 1 species
CCACGCCGUAAACUAUGAUUACUCGGAGUUUGAAAUUAAUUUAAGCUCCCAAGCGAAAGCGAUAAGUAAUCCACCUGGGGAGUACGUCGGCAACGAUGAAACUCAAAGGAAUUGACGGGGGCCCGCACAAGCGGAGGAACAUGUGGUUUAAUUCGAUGAUACGCGAGGAACCUUACCCGGGCUUAAAUUGCAGAUGCCGAUUGUUGAAAGACGAUUUUCCUUUUAGGACAUCUGUGAAGGUGCUGCAUGGUUGU